rnacentral:rRNA from 1 species
GAUGAACGCUGGCGGCGUGCUUAACACAUGCAAGUCGAACGGAGAUGUGAUGUGAGCGGGAAAUGCUGCACAGAACAAUCUUUUCACAUCUUAGUGGCGGACGGGUGAGUAACGCGUGGGCAACCUGCCUUAUACUGGGGGAUAACACUUAGAAAUAGGUGCUAAUACCGCAUAAGCGCACAGUGUCGCAUGACACAGUGUGAAAAACUCCGGUGGUAUAAGAUGGACCCGCGUCUGAUUAGCUAGUUGGUGGGUAACGGCCUACCAAGGCGACGAUCAGUAGCCGAACUGAGAGGUUGAUCGGCCACAUUGGGACUGAGACACGGCCCAGACUCCUACGGGAGGCAGCAGUGGGGAAUAUUGCGCAAUGGGGGAAACCCUGACGCAGCAACGCCGCGUGAAGGAUGAAGGUCUUCGGAUUGUAAACUUCUGUCUUAUGGGAAGAAGAAAGUGACGGUACCAUAGGAGGAAGCCAACGGC